UGGCUCAGGAUGAACGCUGGCGGCGUGCUUAACACAUGCAAGUCGAACGGUGAAGCAGAGCUUGCUCUGUGGAUCAGUGGCGAACGGGUGAGUAACACGUGAGCAACCUGCCCCUGACUCUGGGAUAAGCGCUGGAAACGGCGUCUAAUACUGGAUACGAACAAGAAUCGCAUGGUUACUUGUUGGAAAGAUUUUUUGGUUGGGGAUGGGCUCGCGGCCUAUCAGCUUGUUGGUGAGGUAAUGGCUCACCAAGGCGUCGACGGGUAGCCGGCCUGAGAGGGUGACCGGCCACACUGGGACUGAGACACGGCCCAGACUCCUACGGGAGGCAGCAGUGGGGAAUAUUGCACAAUGGGCGGAAGCCUGAUGCAGCAACGCCGCGUGAGGGAUGACGGCCUUCGGGUUGUAAACCUCUUUUAGCAGGGAAGAAGCGAAAGUGACGGUACCUGCAGAAAAAGCGCCGGCUAACUACGUGCCAGCAGCCGCGGUAAUACGUAGGGCGCAAGCGUUAUCCGGAAUUAUUGGGCGUAAAGAGCUCGUAGGCGGUUUGUCGCGUCUGCUGUGAAAUCCCGAGGCUCAACCUCGGGCCUGCAGUGGGUACGGGCAGACUAGAGUGCGGUAGGGGAGAUUGGAAUUCCUGGUGUAGCGGUGGAAUGCGCAGAUAUCAGGAGGAACACCGAUGGCGAAGGCAGAUCUCUGGGCCGUAACUGACGCUGAGGAGCGAAAGGGUGGGGAGCAAACAGGCUUAGAUACCCUGGUAGUCCACCCCGUAAACGUUGGGAACUAGUUGUGGGGUC
rnacentral:rRNA from 1 species